rnacentral:rRNA from 1 species
AAGAAGAGAAAAGGGCGUAAGGUUAAGAGGUAUGAGUGUCCAGCCCACCUUUACCUUACGCACAAGGAUGCGUGGUGGAGAGUCGAACGCUUUGAUGACAACCACAACCAUCCACUGAUAAGAAAGCCAUAUCUGACAAAAUUUCUAGCCUCACAUAGGAACAUUCCCAAAGACGAGCAAGAUUUCUUACGGAUUCUACAUGAAUGCAACAUAGACACCGCAAGGCAAAUGCAACUAAUUUCAUGGUUCUAUGGUGAUGCUGAGAAUGUACCAUACACAACACAGGACCUUGCAAAUCAGCGAGCCAAGUUUCGCAAGGAGUACCAUACUGCAGACGUGGGGAGCACAAUUGCAUACUUUGAGGAGCUCAGGGCAAAGGAUCCAGAUUUCUAUUGGAGAAUGAAACUUGAUGAUGAAGACAGGGUGGAAAACGUGUUCUCGAUAGAUGGUGCAUCACGUAGGGCAUACGCGAAAUACGACAUUGUGUCUUUCGACACAAGUACAUGA